AGUCUCCUGGUUGAGCUCAGACCCAUGUUGUUGGCUGUCCUGUCUUCUGCUGCCCUGGAUUCUAGACCUGGCUGGUCACCUCACCUUGGCUGAGGAUGACCAGGCUCUCAGGGAUGCCUCUUGCUAUCCCCAACCUGCCCUGGCUGGGAUGCUGCUGGAUACAUCAGCAUUUGAAACCAAGAACUGUAAUAAUUUGCCAUGAAAGAGAGAACUAAACAGCCACAAGGUUUCCAGAUUUAAUAAUGUGCUGUGAAAAUACACUGAGUACUACUCCCUCCCACAUUCUCAGCCUUGUCAGUUAAAGGCAGCAGCAGGCGUCGGUGCUGCCGUGGCGGGAGGGUGCAUUGGCCCAUCGCUCGGUCCUCAAUCUGCAUUUAUGGCACGAGGUUAUUCUGC